rnacentral:sRNA from 1 species
AUGAGUGAUGUUAAGGGUCACGCAGAGAAGCAAUGGCCGAAUUACUAGCCUCCGAAGGACUGUCACCAGAUUGGUCACCGUGGAGUAUCAAGCAGUGCUGCUGCAUAAAGGCAACACUGAGAGAUGAAGCCCCUUUCUCCAGCAUCCGUGUGGGUGGAGGGCCAGGGAUCCCGUCUGUUACGCACAUUGAACAAACUCAAGUUUUGCCAUCCACUGGGCGUCCUGCAGUACAGCGGUGUGGGCUCAUCUCCAGGACCUCUCUCUACGAGGUACGCCCCUCAUCUUGUGGGCAUCAGUGCUCCUUCCAGGCCUCUCAGUCCGGACUGAGUUGGGCACCGCGUCAGCGUCCCGCGGCCGGGCUCGCCGCCGAUGACUCCGCUCGCCUAGGGAGGCGGCCGAGAGCCCAUAGGGCUCCUCCUUCACUCCAGUCUCUAUGGCGGAAGUGAGUUGUCCCGGCCGAAACACCACAGCGUUCUCGGUGGUGGGCUGAAUGGACUCGUCCACAUCAGGGGGAUCUUCAUCACCAUCAACUCUUAAAAUCCGAGACAUAACCACGAAAGGAGCAGCCCCCAGAUCAGAGAGCAACGCAUGACUAUCUGUGUGUGCUCCUGUGACUACGCGAUGAUGUGGGCGGCUACAUGCGUGCGGGGGCCCGGCGAGCUGGGCAGGUGCCCCCUCCGGGGCCGUGGGAUCUGCCGGUCUCUUGUGGCUCAGCGCCGUGCGGAGGUUGACGCGUACCUGCGGAGGUCGCACCAGG